UGUGGCCCUUGUACUCUGGGAACCUCUCAAGCCAAUUGAUGAGGAAAGUAUAUGCAUCUUCUGCGGUGCUCCUGUCACCAGUGUUAUUGUAAUCUGAUGUUCUGUUCGAGUAUGAGAAGCCAACACCAGCAGGGCUCUCAAGGAAGAGCAUGUUUGCCACUGCCAUCGAGAAAUGAUCAGUAACACAGAGUGUCUUGUUAUCUCUGUUGACGAAGAAUGGCCCAAUUUCAUGCAUAGCUCCUCCCAGAGAAGAGCAACCAGGCCCUGAAAUUUCACGCAUCGGUCAGGCAAGAAAUGACCCUAGCAGACUGAAAUGACGGGAAUCUGUAUUGUCAAUUAAAGAGCACUAUUGGCCUUGCAUCAGCAUCAGGUAUCUUGUUCUAUAUUGUCAAUUAAAGAGCACAUAAAUCAUAAGAGCGAUUGGCCUUGCAUCAGCAUCAGGUAUCUUGUUCUAUUCUUUUCUCCCCCUCGUUCUGGCUCCACAGAUUCAAAGAGACAACAUCCAUUCGUGCUGGUCAUCCGAAUAUAUGUUUUCCCCA